UCCCCUUGCAAUGGGCAAAGAGACAGCUGUUUGGUGGUGUUGUUCUUAUAACUCAGAGGUAGAGAAGCUGUCAGUCCUUUGUUUAUCUUAGCUUGAAGCCAGGCUUGAUGGUUAAAGUUGUUUUAUGCCUAGGACACAUAA